UGGGGAAUAUUGCACAAUGGGCGCAAGCCUGAUGCAGCAACGCCGCGUGAGGGAUGACGGCCUUCGGGUUGUAAACCUCUUUUAGUAGGGAAGAAGCGAAAGUGACGGUACCUGCAGAAAAAGCACCGGCUAACUACGUGCCAGCAGCCGCGGUAAUACGUAGGGUGCGAGCGUUGUCCGGAAUUAUUGGGCGUAAAGAGCUCGUAGGCGGUCUGUCGCGUCUGCUGUGAAAACCCGAGGCUCAACCUCGGGCCUGCAGUGGGUACGGGCAGACUAGAGUGCGGUAGGGGAGAAUGGAAUUCCUGGUGUAGCGGUGGAAUGCGCAGAUAUCAGGAGGAACACCGAUGGCGAAGGCAGUUCUCUGGGCCGUAACUGACGCUGAGGAGCGAAAAGCGUGGGGAGCGAACAGGAUUAGAUACCCUGGUAGUCCACGCCGUAAACGUUGGGCGCUAGAUGUGGGGACCAUUCCACGGUUUCCGUGUCGCAGCUAACGCAUUAAGCG
rnacentral:rRNA from 1 species